GAUGAACGCUGGCGGUAUGCUUAACACAUGCAAGUCGAACGGACUCUUCGGAGUUAGUGGCGGACGGGGGAGUAACGCGUGAGAAUCUGGCUUUGGGUUCGGGACAACCACUGGAAACGGUGGCUAAUACCGGAUGUGCCGAGAGGUAAAAGAGAAAUUGCCUGGAGAUGAGCUCGCGUCUGAUUAGCUAGUUGGUGAGGUAAAGGCUCACCAAGGCAGCGAUCAGUAGCUGGUCUGAGAGGAUGCCCAGCCACACUGGGACUGAGACACGGCCCCGACGCCUACGGGAGGCAGCAGUGGAGAAUUUUCCGCAAAGGGCGAGUGCCUGACGGAGCAAUUCCGCGUGAGGAAAGAAGGCUCUUGGGUUGUAAACCUCUUUUCUUAGGCAAGAACAAAAUGACGGUACCUAAAGAAUCAGCAUCGGCUAACUCCGUG
rnacentral:rRNA from 1 species